CUACGGGAGGCAGCAGUGGGGAAUAUUGCGCAAUGGGCGAAAGCCUGACGCAGCAACGCCGUGUGAGGGAUGAAGGCUUUCGGGUCGUAAACCUCUGUCGGAAGGGAAGAACGGGCAUUGGUCUAAUAGGCCUUUGUUUUGACGGUACCUUUAGAGGAAGCACCGGCUAACUCCGUGCCAGCAGCCGCGGUAAUACGGAGGGUGCAAGCGUUAUUCGGAAUUACUGGGCGUAAAGCGCACGUAGGCCGUUUUGUAAGUCAGGGGUGAAAUCCCACGGCUCAACCGUGGAACUGCCGUUGAAACUGCAGGACUUGAAUCCUGGAGAGGGUGGCGGAAUUCCUGGUGUAGGAGUGAAAUCCGUAGAUAUCAGGAGGAACACCGGUGGCGAAGGCGGCCACCUGGACAGGUAUUGACGCUGAGGUGCGAAAGUGUGGGGAGCAAACAGGAUUAGAUACCCUCGUAGUC
rnacentral:rRNA from 1 species